rnacentral:sRNA from 1 species
GUCGUAUCGAUUCGAUAGGGAUACUCAUCAAAUUACACUGAAAACUGAGUUGCCGACUCUUGCCAAUGGCGGGCCAUAUCUUCUUCGAAGAAGCUGAAAAGCCGGUGGAUUACAAAGGCAGAGAGCACUCUAAUCUUAUAACAAAGGAGUUUUCAUCACAUCCUCGGUACGACCCUCU